CUCAAAUUAUCACCAUCGUGUUCAUAACCCUAAACCCAAUUUCACAACAUCUUGAUCUCACACCCAGUACUAAACCAUAGCAGGUUUUGCAAUUAGUUAUUUGCAGUCGUUGAGAUAUGCAAUUUCUAAAACCCUUUUAGUUCGAAUCAUGUCUUCAACUUUGUUUAGAUGUUCUGCUUAAUUACAGUUGAUUCAAUCCCUAAUCUAAUCGAUCACAAGUUCUGACUCUUGGUGUGCAAAAAAUAAAGCGGUGGCUAAACUCAUUGACUUUAUUCUUUACUCAUGUUUCAGAUUGAGUACUUUAUUCGUUACUCAUCUUUGAUUAGCUUUAGUAUAGGGAUACCCAAAUCAUGAGUAGACAGGUAAGGCUUCUUGAGUCUUUGAGGAGCAUUUACAGGUUUUGACAUCUGCAAAACAAAAUGUCGUUGUAUGCAUCUUCCCAUGCCUAACCUUGUGAUAAGCUCUGCAUCAACAGGCAACCUCCACCUAGAAGGUAUCUGGACCAGUCAUUUGAGUCAUUUGAGGUUGAUAGAGUUGAGAAGAUGGACUACCUUCAUGAAGAUCUGAUUAGAAAUGCAAGAACACAUAACAAGAGGCUCGAGAUUGUAUUUGUUGUCAAUUGGUUGUUCUUCAUCUUGUAUUUCUUUUGUAAUUGAGCAAAAAAAUGUAGUAGUCUAUUUGGUUUGUGUAUUAUAAUCAUCAUGUACUCUCUAUCUAUUGUUGAUAAUAAAUUGAAUUCUUUGUUGUU
rnacentral:lncRNA from 1 species